rnacentral:rRNA from 1 species
GACGAACGCUGGCGGCGUGCCUAAUACAUGCAAGUAGAACGCUGAAGAGAGGAACUUGCUCUUCUUGGAUGAGUUGCGAACGGGUGAGUAACGCGUAGGUAACCUGCCUGGUAGCGGGGGAUAACUAUUGGAAACGAUAGCUAAUACCGCAUAAAAUUGAUUAUUGCAUGAUAAUUAAUUGAAAGAUGCAACUGCAUCACUACCAGAUGGACCUGCGUUGUAUUAGCUAGUUGGUGAGGUAACGGCUCACCAAGGCGACGAUACAUAGCCGACCUGAGAGGGUGAUCGGCCACACUGGGACUGAGACACGGCCCAGACUCCUACGGGAGGCAGCAGUAGGGAAUCUUCGGCAAUGGGGGGAACCCUGACCGAGCAACGCCGCGGGAGGGAAGAAGGGUGUCGGAUCGUAAAGCUCUGUUGUAAGAGAAGAACGGGUGUGAGAGUGGAAGGUUCACACUGUGACGGUAUCUUACCAGAAAGGGACGGCUAACUACGUG